rnacentral:rRNA from 1 species
UACGUAGGGGCCGAGCGUUGUCCGGAGUUAUUGGGCGUAAAGCGCGCGCAGGCGGCUUGACGCGCCCGACGUGAAAGCCCCCGGCUUAACCGGGGAGGGUCGUCGGGUACGGUCAGGCUUGAGGGCGGGAGAGGGUGGUGGAAUUCCCGGUGUAGUGGUGAAAUGCGUAGAGAUCGGGAGGAACACCAAUGGCGAAGGCAGCUCGCUGGGACGGUACUGACGCUGAGACGCGAAAGCGUGGGGAGCAAACAGG